AGAGAAGCAAGACUGUGAAGAGGAGCCAAACUCAAAAACCGGUCCCAGUUCGGAUUGUAGGCUGCAACUCGCCUACAUGAAGUCGGAGUUGCUAGUAAUCGCGGAUCAGAAUGCCGCGGUGAAUGCGUUCCCGGGUCUUGUACACACCGCCCGUCACACCAUGGAAGUUGGGGACGCCCGAAGUUGGUCGGGAAAUAGAUUACCUAAGGCGAAACCAAUGACUGGGGUGAAGUCGUAACAAGGUAAC
rnacentral:rRNA from 1 species